UCUCCGUAGGUGAACCUGCGGAGGGAUCAUUACAGAGUUCUCGCCCUCGCGGGUAGAUCUCCCACCCACUGUUAUCGUUACUGUGUUGCUUUGGCGGGCCGCCGGGCCCCGCUCGGCCGCCGGCUCCGGCUGGCGCGCGCCCGCCAGAGGCCCAGCAAACGCUGAAUGUUAGUGUCGUCUGAGUACUAUAUAAUAGUUAAAACUUUCAACAACGGAUCUCUUGGUUCUG
rnacentral:misc_RNA from 1 species